rnacentral:rRNA from 1 species
UACAGAGGGGGCUAGCGUUGUUCGGAAUUACUGGGCGUAAAGGGCGCGUAGGUGGCCUGUUAAGUCGAACGUGAAAUCCCCGGGCUCAACCCGGGAACUGCGUCCGAGACUGGCAGGCUCGAAUCCGGGAGAGGGAUGUGGAAUUCCAGGUGUAGCGGUGAAAUGCGUAGAUAUCUGGAGGAACACCAGUAGCGAAGGCGGCUCGCUGGGCCAUUCCUGACGCUGAGACGCGAAAGCUAGGGGAGCGAACAAG